rnacentral:rRNA from 1 species
GACGAACGCUGGCGGCGUGCCUAAUACAUGCAAGUUGAGCGAUGAAGAUUGGUGCUUGCCCCAAUUUGAAGAGCAGCGAACGGGUGAGUAACGCGUGGGGAAUCUGCCUUUGAGCGGGGGACAACAUUUGGAAACGAAUGCUAAUACCGCAUAACAACUUUAAACAUAAGUUUUAAGUUUGAAAGAUGCAAUUGCAUCACUCAAGGAUGAUCCCGCGUUGUAUUAGCUAGUUGGUGAGGUAAAGGCUCACCAAGGCGAUGAUACAUAGCCGACCUGAGAGGGUGAUCGGCCACAUUGGGACUGAGACACGGCCCAAACUCCUACGGGAGGCAGCAGUAGGGAAUCUUCGGCAAUGGACGAAAGUCUGACCGAGCAACGCCGCGUGAGUGAAGAAGGUUUUCGGAUCGUAAAACUCUGUUGGUAGAGAAGAACGUUGGUGAGAGUGGAAAGCUCAUCAAGUGACGGUAACUACCCAGAAAGGGACGGCUAACUACGUG